UGGGGAAUCUUGCACAAUGGGGGAAACCCUGAUGCAGCGACGCCGCGUGAGCGAUGAAGCCCUUCGGGGUGUAAAGCUCUUUCGGCAGGAACGAUUAUGACGGUACCUGCAGAAGAAGCUGCGGCUAACUACGUGCCAGCAGCCGCGGUAAUACGUAGGCAGCAAGCGUUGUUCGGAAUUACUGGGCGUAAAGAGUGUGUAGGCGGUGCCGCAAGUUUGGUGUGAAAUCUCCCGGCUUAACUGGGAGGGUGCGCCGAAAACUGCGGUGCUUGAGUAUGGGAGAGGAAAGCGGAAUUCCUGGUGUAGCGGUGAAAUGCGUAGAUAUCAGGAGGAACACCUGCGGUGUAGACGGCUUUCUGGACCAUUACUGACGCUGAGACACGAAAGCGUGGGUAGCAAACAGG
rnacentral:rRNA from 1 species